rnacentral:rRNA from 1 species
UACGAAGGGGGCUAGCGUUGCUCGGAAUCACUGGGCGUAAAGGGUGCGUAGGCGGGUCUUUAAGUCAGGGGUGAAAUCCUGGAGCUCAACUCCAGAACUGCCUUUGAUACUGAAGAUCUUGAGUUCGGGAGAGGUGAGUGGAACUGCGAGUGUAGAGGUGAAAUUCGUAGAUAUUCGCAAGAACACCAGUGGCGAAGGCGGCUCACUGUCUCAUUACUGACGCUCAGGCGCGACAGCGUGGGGAUCAAACAGG